AGCGAACGUUUGCGGCGGGCCUAACACAUGCAAGUCGAACGAGUUGGCAACAACCAGUGGCGCACGGGUGCGUAACACGUAGGUAAUCUACCCUCAAGUUCGGGAUAACGAUCUGAAAGGAUCGCUAAUACCGGAUGUGUUCCGAAAGGAAGAAAGACCCGCAAGGGUCGCUAGAGGACGAGCCUGCGGCCCAUCAGCUAGUUGGUGAGGUAAUGGCUCACCAAGGCUAAGACGGGUAGCUGGUCUGAGAGGAUGAUCAGUCACACUGGAACUGAGACACGGUCCAGACUCCUACGGGAGGCAGCAGUGGGGAAUAUUGCGCAAUGGGCGAAAGCCUGACGCAGCCACGCCGCGUGAGUGAUGAAGGCCUUCGGUGUAAGACGUCUGUCGGGAGGGAAGGAAGGGG
rnacentral:rRNA from 1 species